rnacentral:rRNA from 1 species
AACGAACGCUGGCGGCAGGCCUAACACAUGCAAGUCGAGCGCCCUCUUCGGAGGGAGCGGCGGACGGGUUAGUAACGCGUGGGAAUAUGCCCAAAGGUAGGGAACAACCGCUGGAAACGGCGGCUAAUACCCUAUGUGCCCUACGGGGGAAAGAUUUAUCGCCUUUGGAUUAGCCCGCGUUGGAUUAGCUAGUUGGUGAGGUAACGGCUCACCAAGGCGACGAUCCAUAGCUGGUUUGAGAGGAUGAUCAGCAACACUGGGACUGAGACACGGCCCAGACUCCUACGGGAGGCAGCAGUGGGGAAUCUUGGACAAUGGGGCAACCCUGAUCCAGCCAUGCCGCGUGAGCGAUGAAGGCCUUAGGGUCGUAAAGCUCUUUCACCGGUGAAGAUAAUGACGGUAGCCGGAGAAGAAGCCCCGGCUAACUCCGUGCCAGCGCCGCGGUAA